CUUUACUGCAACUUGACGUUGGAACUUGGCUGUAUUUGUGCAGGAUAGGUGGGAGACUUUGAAGCAGGGCCGCCAGGUCUUGCGGAGUCGUCGUUGAAAUACCACCCUGGUGCUGACGAGUUUCUAACCGUGUCCGUAAGCCGGACAUGAGACAGCGUCUGGUGGGCAGUUUGACUGGGGCGGUCGCCUCCUAAAGGUAACGGAGGCAUUCAAAGGUCCCCUCAGCGUGGUCGGUAAUCACGCGCAGAGUGCAAACGCAUAAGGGGGCUUAACUGCGAGAACGACAGGUCGAGCAGGUACGAAAGUAGGAGUUAGUGAUCCCGCGGUUUAGCGUGGAAUUGCCGUUGCUCAAUGGAUAAAAGGUA
rnacentral:rRNA from 1 species